rnacentral:lncRNA from 1 species
CAUGUACUGCCAACCCCAAAUUCCUUUUCUUACUGCUCGUCUUAAUUUUCAUGACAGCUUUGCCUCUCCUUCUCUUCCCUGGCGCUUAGGUGACCACAGGCUUCAUAAAGCCUAAAAAACUUCAGACUGAGAGGAAAAGACCCCAGUCAAGAUGGGUGCGGCUGUUGUCAUCAGCACACAGGUGCCUACGGGGACAUCGUGAUGACCCAGUCUCCAGACUCCCUGGCUGUGUCUCUGGGCGAGAGGGCCACCAUCAACUGCAAGUCCAGCCAGAGUGUUUUAUACAGCUCCAACAAUAAGAACUACUUAGCUUGGUACCAGCAGAAACCAGGACAGCCUCCUAAGCUGCUCAUUUACUGGGCAUCUACCCGGGAAUCCGGGGUCCCUGACCGAUUCAGUGGCAGCGGGUCUGGGACAGAUUUCACUCUCACCAUCAGCAGCCUGCAGGCUGAAGAUGUGGCAGUUUAUUACUGUCAGCAAUAUUAUAGUACUCCUC